AUUGAACGCUGACGGCAUGCUUUACACAUGCAAGUCGGACGAGUGGCGAACGGUUGAGUAACGCAUCGGAACGUACCGAGUAAUGGGGGAUAACUGUCCGAAAGGACAGCUAAUACCGCAUAUUGUUCGAGCGGCCCAUGUCUGAUUAGCUGGAUGGCGGGGUAAAGGCCCACCAGGGCGACGUUCAGUAGCGGGUCUGAGAGGAUGAUCCGACACGCUGGGACGGAGACACGGCCCAGACUCCUACGGGAGGCAGCAGUGGGGAAUUUUGGCGAAUGGGCGCAAGCCUGAUCCAGCCAUGCCGGGUGUCUGAAGAAGGCCUGCGGGUGGUAAAGGACUUUUGUCAGGGAAGCGGUACCUGAAGCAUAAGCACCGGCUAACUACGUGCCAGCCGCCGCGGUAAUUC
rnacentral:rRNA from 1 species